UUCUUGGUGGUCCAGUGGUUAGGACUCCGUGCUUCCACUGCAGAGAGCACAGGUUCGAUCCCUGACUGGGGAA
rnacentral:tRNA from 1 species